GAUGAACGCUGGCGGCGUGCCUAAUACAUGCAAGUCGAGCGAACGGACGAGAAGCUUGCUUCUCUGAUGUUAGCGGCGGACGGGUGAGUAACACGUGGAUAACCUACCUAUAAGACUGGGAUAACUUCGGGAAACCGGAGCUAAUACCGGAUAAUAUUUUGAACCGCAUGGUUCAAAAGUGAAAGACGGUCUUGCUGUCACUUAUAGAUGGAUCCGCGCUGCAUUAGCUAGUUGGUAAGGUAACGGCUUACCAAGGCAACGAUGCAUAGCCGACCUGAGAGGGUGGUCGGCCACACUGGAACUGAGCCACGGUCCAGACUCCUACGGGAGGCAGCAGUAGGGAAUCUGCCGCAAUGGGCGAAAGCCUGACGGAGCAACGCCGCGUGAGUGAUGAAGGUCUUCGGAUCGUAAAACUCUGUUAUUAGGGAAGAACAUAUGUGUAAGUAACUGUGCACAUCUUGACGGUACCUAAUCAGAAAGCCACGGCUAACUACGUG
rnacentral:rRNA from 1 species